GGCUGCUUUAAGAUCCUGGCAUGCCUUUAAAAACUUAGAGUCAGGACCAACUGAGAAAACUGUUGUCUGCUUACAGAACUUCAUGGCAGCUGAGAAUGAGCCCC